rnacentral:lncRNA from 1 species
CUUCUUUAAUUAGGGUAAAUAUACAAGUCAGCCAGGUUUGGUUUAAUUUUUACUAAAAAACUUCCUACAUUUUGAUGUAAAAAAAACGUAUUUGGUGUCGAAAGUAGUGUGUAACUAGGUGCUUAGAAGCCAGUAUGGCAGACAUGGUUUUCCACGUACCAAUAAUUUUAUAAACACGCCAUUGCCGUAUUAGUCAUUUUUAUGAUACUCUUCUGGAACCGGC